UACGGAGGGGGCUAGCGUUGUUCGGAAUUACUGGGCGUAAAGCGCACGUAGGCGGCUUUGUAAGUUAGAGGUGAAAGCCCGGAGCUCAACUCCGGAAUUGCCUUUAAGACUGCAUCGCUCGAAUCAUGGAGAGGUGAGUGGAAUUCCGAGUGUAGAGGUGAAAUUCGUAGAUAUUCGGAAGAACACCGGUGGCGAAGGCGGCUCACUGGCUCAUUUCUGACGCUCAGGCGCGACAGCGUGGGGAUCAAACAGG
rnacentral:rRNA from 1 species